rnacentral:tRNA from 1 species
UUUUCACAUACAUUGGGUUCUAGCUGUCAAGGUAGAUUGAUAGUAUGCAAUUCAAAAGGA